rnacentral:lncRNA from 10 species
CCCUUCCACCUUGUCUCUGUGGCAUCAGGGAUUUACUCAGUUUACAGUCUUGCGUCUGUGUCCUCCCCAUCACUUCUUCCCUAAUUGUAGGAGAGAGUCAGGGAGGCAGGGGGUUCUCAAAUAGGGAAGAGAUAUAUUCUUCCAGAGACAAUGAGCACACAUUAGGAUCUAGCCUUUCUUAGCGUUUAGCAGCUGAUUUUCUGCUGUGGUCAAAUUUUGGCUUUGUUUUUGCUUGUAGCCUUGUGAUCCUUCUGUUUUACGCUCUUGCAUGAUCUUCCCAUGUCUUGGUGACCAAGCUCUUUCUAGCCCGAAUCAGCAUGGAGAACAAGCAGAGGAUGGACUUCUGCAGCAUCUUCUGCAAGAUGUGAGGACUGCAAUAUUCCCAUUCACGCAUGAACCACAGCUGCUCUCCCUAGGUCCCCUGACCUCUGGAGAAGGCUACUAGCAUAGCACUGACCCAACUUCACCAAGACAUCAAACGACAAAAGAAGGAAACAAGACGUGGGUGUCAUUACUGCAAGUCCCAUUGAGGUAAAACUCCAGUGGCACUGCAUCUUUGGUGGCUGUCUGUCUAGUCCACUUUCUGGGCCCUUCCUCUGCUUUACCCCAGGUGCCCAGUGCCUUCAGCUUCCUGCCUUAGGUCAGAGGGAGACAUCUGAUGCCAGACCCAUCCACACAUUUUGAUUACAAUGACGCCUUCCUGGGGUCCUUGCACCCUGAAAAGUGAUCUUGAGAAAGAGCUGUAAUGAAACGGUGGCAAGGAACCCUAUGGAAGAAUUUGAUCUAGCAUGGUAGCCAUGGAAAGAUGGAUAUUUGUGACUACAAACACUAUUAAGAAAUAUUAUGCCAUGGACAGCUUACUCCAAAGAGAGACAGACCGAAGCCAGCUUCCAGUUCUGUG